GACCAUCAACAAUCUCAGAGCUUUGGUUGCAAACAAUAAUCAACAGCACAAGCAUCCAUCUACCCAGUUGAAGAUCCAGGGCCGAGGUGCCAAGAACUAUCCUAGACCAGAGAAUAUAAUGCUGCGUAAGAGAGACAGCUAACCUCUUCCCAUGAAGCUUGAAUUUGUGGUGA